ensembl:lncRNA
UGUGGGCUGUGCUUUGCUGACAAGACAAACACGUAUAGUGGAGAGAAAUCUGCAGUAGAGUACAAGUCAAGGCAUGUCCCAACACGCCACCAACAGCCGGAGCAGGCGAUGGAGCCGUCUCCUAGAGGACACACAGAGAGGGAGGAGCCAGGAUCAGACAAGGGGGAAGCCCAGAAAAGACCCAGGCAGCAGCGUGACUCAGCCGGCUUCAACUGCUCAGCAAAAGGGCUGAACACAUGUGCCAUUGACAAGUGAAACACAGGAAGAACGUUAUGUUUGAGGAUUAUGAGGGCCGCAGCAUCCUUCAAAAGCAGUGCUUGUCAUCUCAAAGCAUGCAUUGACUCUUGGCCUGCAUUUGCUAUCGUAACACACAGAGAAGUGGACCGAGACUAUGCACUGUAUUCAUGGACACUCUUAGACGUCUGCUGGUUCAGUGUCAUAAACAGGACAGGCUCAUGUUCAGAGUUCCCCCAUGUAGGCGCAGUCCCACCUGGGACCCCUCCUCAGAGGUGUGUGGCAUUCCCACUGCUGAUCGCCUUGUGUUUUAGCAGCAAUGCACCAUUCAAGCCUGCAGGCAACUUGACAAACGAGCCGCGAUGUGAACGGGGGGAUGCUUGUACUGCAGCACACAUCCUGUCCCAUCUACUUCCCCCCCGUCCUGCAGUGGUGCACCUUUUCAAACCCAAUCUGCUGCUCUAGCCCACAACAGUGGUCAUAUAAAUGCAAGGACAUUCAUACAAGGACUACAAAUCUAUAUAAAAAUAAAAUGUAGACAUCAU